GCCUAGUUAGCUUGGAGGUCAGCGCGUCUGCCUUCUAAGUGCUAGGUCGUGGGUUCGAUUCCCGCUCGGGGCG
rnacentral:tRNA from 1 species